rnacentral:rRNA from 1 species
UACGGAGGGUGCGAGCGUUGUCCGGAAUUACUGGGCGUAAAGCGCGCGCAGGCGGCUAUCCAAGUCAGUGGUGAAAGCCCGGAGCUCAACUCCGGAACUGCCAUUGAAACUGUUUAGCUUGAGGAUGAGAGAGGUGAGUGGAAUUCCCAGUGUAGAGGUGAAAUUCGUAGAUAUUGGGAAGAACACCGGUGGCGAAGGCGGCUCACUGGCUCAUUACUGACGCUCAGGCGCGAUAGCGUGGGGAUCAAACAGG